AUUGAACGCUGGCGGCAGGCCUAACACAUGCAAGUCGAGCGGAUGAAGGGAGCUUGCUCCUGGAUUCAGCGGCGGACGGGUGAGUAAUGCCUAGGAAUCUGCCUGGUAGUGGGGGAUAACGUCCGGAAACGGGCGCUAAUACCGCAUACGUCCUGAGGGAGAAAGUGGGGGAUCUUCGGACCUCACGCUAUCAGAUGAGCCUAGGUCGGAUUAGCUAGUUGGUGGGGUAAAGGCCUACCAAGGCGACGAUCCGUAACUGGUCUGAGAGGAUGAUCAGUCACACUGGAACUGGGACACGGUCCAGACGCCUACGGGAGGCAGCAGUGGGGAAUAUUGGACAAUGGGCGAAAGCCUGAUCCAGCCAUGCCGCGUGUGUGAAGAAGGUCUUCGGAUUGUAAAGCACUUUAAGUUGGGAGGAAGGGCAGUAAGUUAAUACCUUGCUGUUUUGACGUUACCAACAGAAUAAGCACCGGCUAACUUCGUG
rnacentral:rRNA from 1 species